UGGGGAAUUUUGGACAAUGGACGCAAGUCUGAUCCAGCCAUUCCGCGUGCAGGAUGAAGGCCCUCUGGUUGUAAACUGCUUUUGUACGGAACGAAAAGGCGCUUUCUAAUACAGAGCGCUCAUGACGGUACCGUAAGAAUAAGCACCGGCUAACUACGUGCCAGCAGCCGCGGUAAUACGUAGGGUGCAAGCGUUAAUCGGAAUUACUGGGCGUAAAGCGUGCGCAGGCGGUUAUGUAAGACAGGUGUGAAAUCCCAGGGCUUAACCUUGGAACUGCAUUUGUGACUGCAUAGCUAGAGUACGGUAGAGGGGGAUGGAAUUCCGCGUGUAGCAGUGAAAUGCGUUAGAUAUGCGGAGGAACACCGAUGGCGAAGGCAAUCCCCUGGACCUGUACUGACGCUCAUGCACGAAAGCGU
rnacentral:rRNA from 1 species